CUGCUGCCUCCCGUAGGAGUCUGGUCCGUGUCUCAGUACCAGUGUGGGGGACCUUCCUCUCAGAACCCCUACGCAUCGUCGGUUAGGUGGGCCGUUACCCCGCCUACUGCCUAAUGCGCCGCAUGCCCAUCCCUGUCCGGCCGAAGCCUUUCCUGCCUCCGGGAUGCCCCGGUGGCAUGUACGCGGGUUUAGCCCGCCUUUCGGCGGGUUGUCCCCCUGACAGGGGCAGGUUGCAUACGUGUUACUCACCCGUGCGCCGGUCGCCGGCGGAGAAGG
rnacentral:rRNA from 1 species